rnacentral:rRNA from 1 species
UACGUAGGGGGCAAGCGUUGUCCGGAAUUAUUGGGCGUAAAGCGCGCGCAGGCGGUUUCUUAAGUCUUGUGUUUAAGCCCGGGGCUCAACCCCGGCUCGCAUGGGAAACUGGGGAACUGGAGUGCAGGAGAGGAAAGUGGAAUUCCACGUGUAGCGGUGAAAUGCGUAGAGAUGUGGAGGAACACCAGUGGCGAAGGCGACUUUCUGGCCUGUAACUGACGCUGAGGCGCGAAAGCGUGGGGAGCAAACA